rnacentral:ncRNA from 2 species
CCAAUGACCCGCGGGAGCCCGGUAAGUCCGGGCUGAGAGGGAGGCACUCCAGCCUCCGACCGCCGAACCUGAUCCGGAUAAUGCCGGCGCAGGAAGGGAAGAUCCGAUGGCG